CCCUUGAGGGGCGUCAGCCCCGUUGCCCCCCGCUCCCGUCACUCGGAUCUAAGACGAACCCCACUCCCGGAUCUGGAAAAUGUAGAGGCCAGUUAUCAUUUUACUGCAGAAGCGAAUUAGAGGAGCUUCGACUGGAAAGUGCCCCCCCCAUUCCCACCGCCGAGAGGAAAAAAGGGGGGGGGUGAGGUGGGCGCAUUGCCCCCUGCACCCCCGUCCUGUCAGAGCGGGCUCGGCCCAAGCGCACGGAGCUGCUCUGUUGAUAUACCUGCACUUAGCUCUUCUUUUACCAGGCUUGUGUUUUCCUCUUCAUUGAGAAAUAGAAAGCAACAGCAUGGGCUAUUCAAAUAGGAGAUACCGGAAGGAACAUAUUUUGCAAUUCAGGACUGCAGAAAACAAGAUUUAAAGUUGUAUGCACUACUUUGGAACAAAUAUGGGACAGAAAGGAGGUAGCAGAACAAUUUUUGCAGGGCUCAGGAAUUCUAGUGCAGUUCUGUGGUGGUUGAGGAAGCUAUCUUCUUCAGAAUUCAGACGGCUGGAGUAAAUGUGAAUGCAAGGAAUGUGUAGUCAGUGCAACGUUCCUUUUCCCCAAGGUUAGUACCAUAUAACUUUAACUCAGUCAUACGCCCUAAAGAGGCAAAUCAGCUCUCUCCAGUCCCUGAACACAGGACUGUGUAUUGUCCUGCAAAUGGCAAGUGGAAAGGGCCCUGCUUCUGGUGUGCUAAGAGAGCGGCUGUGAAGAGCCACAAUCACAGCAUUGCAGAGGAAAUUUGGACCCAAGACUCAGGGAGUUUAUCAAAGGGCAUGGCAAAUCAAUAAACCUCACCAGUUAGCAACAAAACUUGACCAGCCCCUAUCUAUAGCAGCAGAACAAGUCAAUUCCCUCAGUCUUCCUUCCUCUUAUGCAAAGAUGCCUAUAAAAUAUUCCUGCACAAAAUCAGUGUACAUGGGCCAGAGCAAGGUUUGUUCCUUAGUGCAUACAAACUGGUAUUGACUAAGCUAGACUUUGUUUUUCAGUUAUAAACAUGAGUAAAAUAGCGCAUGAUUUUUUUUGUUCGUUGCAUGAUGUUAAAAACAAUAGAUUAAAAAACA